rnacentral:rRNA from 1 species
ACGUAGGGUGCGAGCGUUAAUCGGAAUUACUGGGCGUAAAGCGUGCGCAGGCGGUUUCGUAAGACAGAGGUGAAAUCCCCGGGCUCAACCUGGGAACUGCCUUUGUGACUGCGAGGCUAGAGUAUGGCAGAGGGGGGUGGAAUUCCACGUGUAGCAGUGAAAUGCGUAGAGAUGUGGAGGAACACCGAUGGCGAAGGCAGCCCCCUGGGCCAAUACUGACGCUCAUGCACGAAAGCGUGGGGAGCAAACAGGAUUAGAUACCCUGGUAGUCCACGCCCUAAACGAUGUCAACUAGGUGUUGGGAGGGUUAAACCUUUUAGUACCGUAGCUAACGCGUGAAGUUGACCGCCUGGGGAGUACGGCCGCAAGGUUA